GUGUUGUUAUUCUAUUAUUUAGUUGCACCUAGAAGAAAUAAUUUUAAGGAUCUUGGUGACUGAGACUCUGCUGUGGGAACCCAGAGCUUGAGCUGGGCCAUUCAGUAAAUGUAAAACUUGAAAGGGCUGUGUGUGCUCCCUGUGAAAUGAAGAGGGAGAAAUGACCAGGAAAUACUUGAUUUAAAUAGGAAGGAAGGACCUGUGAGUGAAUCCAAAGAUAUGUUACGCUGCUUAACAAAGUGUUAGCCUCUGAUGUGACUGAAGAGGGAUUCAGAGGUCUUGCAGUGCAACUGGGAAAAUUGAAGGUGUUCAAGGACUAAGAGAAGAGCAAGGAUAAGAGAGCUUAGCUGUCUGCUUGAAAAUGCAGAGAUGCACAGGAAAAAGCAGUGGUGCCAUAUGGGGGCUAUACCAUAUUCCUGAAGGAACACCUGGGCAGAGGAGCAGAGUGGAGACAAAGGCACCACAGCAACUUGUCCAUGCUCGAGGAUCACUGGUGGCUGUUUAUCAAGGGUGAUCCUCAGCUGCAAGGUCACUUGAGCACUUUAAAAUACUCAGCAUCCUCCUGCUUUCAGCCCAUUUCUCCCAGCAUGGCCCUCUCCCUUCUGUGUGGCCAUGGGCUGUAGGAUCUGCUGGCUCAGAGUGGAUCCUGGUGCUCCUCUGUUUUUCCCCAGCUCAGGAAACCCCUGUGUGCUGCAGUUUGCUGUGGGAUGCAGCUGCUCAGGAUCUGGUCACCUUGGUGGAUGAAGUCACAGCUCUCAUGUCUUUGUGAGAUUUACGUGGAAUUUAAUCAUCUAUGGCAGAUUUAAGAUUGAAAUUUUUUCUUCCCCUCUUAUUUGUGAAAUUCUAUCAUCCUGACCUAGAAUACCAGACAUUUUGAUUCCCUCCAGUUAAAAACAUAAUUAUGUCAGAUAUUUUAUCAGCAAAUCUACCAGGAGAUAUUAUUGCUUUCUAUUUUUCAGAUGCUGCCUGUCAAAGGACUUAGAAUUAGCACUCUUGUCCUUGGCCAAAAAAAUGCCAAGGUAAUAAUCUCAAUGAUGAUAGCCAGAAAUGGCUGAUGAAUGAAGCCUGAAGUAAUACAGUCAUUAGAUGACAUUUUCUCUUUUCUGAAUGUAUAAUACUGCUACUUCUUCUUGGGUAGCAGCAAAAAUGUGCUAAUGUAAUUUGAAAAUUACACUGGGAAAAAUGCAUAUUUUCAAAUAAUUCCCACUUUAUGUUGGUUGAUAUACAGAAAUUGUAGGUGUUCUAUAAAAUGACUGUGUUUUGGAGACUAAAUUUGAACUUCAAAGUGAAUUAAAAGAUUAGGCCAUGAUUAAUGUUUAGCUUAUUCUGUAAUAUAUAUGCCUGAAAAUAUGUUAAGAAAGCAGCAUUAUAGAGUAGUCAUUUACCAUGACAUUCAGAGGAUUUAAAUAGGUAUAACACUGCAGGGUUACAGCAAGAAAAGACCAUGACUAUCAAAGGUGAAGCAGAAAAAUUCUGUUAGGACUAAAGGCCAGUGAUAAUAAAUAGAAUAUGAAAAUGUUGUUACUUGAGUUUUAAAUUGCUUUUUGGGCUAAGGUCCUGUGUCUUUCAAGUACUUGGAUAACAGGGGUGUUCCCUGUGGUGGAUGCUGUAGGGAAGUGGAGCUAAGCAGGGUGUCCAGUGUUUGCAAAACGUCAUCUGCAACAGAACCUAUUCUGCAAUUUCUCCUCAUAGAUUUAAAGCCUAAUCCUGCAAGAUCCCCACAUACAAACCUCACAGCAACAUUUUGGGGGCAUUUGCUACCUUUUAGAGAAGUUAACAGGAACUAUUUCAAGUAUGUGGGUGUUAAAGACAAAACCAGAAGGAGGUGGGCAGUACUUCAUCAUGUAUCAGUCCAGAGUUGCCAAGAUUAUUUACAUUUUAUGGCAGUGGAAUGAAGGGAGUAGAAUAACUACCCUGGAGCACCCACUGCACCCAGAGCUGCAAGAAUGUCUCUGUUGAGUUCCAGUGUGUGGCUUGGUUUGGAUUUUUCCCUUUGUGUCCUUUUCCCAUCCUGUUUCUCAGCCAGGCCUUGAACUCCUGCAGACCUCUUUGUUUUCAAGAAAGGUGUUGUAACAAUACUUGUACUUAAAUAUCAGAGGUGAUUGUUUUUGCCCUCCCUAGGGACAAGAGAGUUUCAAGAAGUUGGUGCAAUCAGCUCCUAAGCACAUUUCCACUUUCACAGUGUAUAGUUAUGAACAGAAAAGAAAAGGGGGAAAGCUGGGGACUUUUUGGUUAAUAGGAAUUAUAAUUUUGUGUAUGUUUCAGAACAUUGUAUUUCUGCUGAAGACCAAGACGCUGUAGACUGUGCAGUAAUUAUUUUGUAUUCUAUCUGGGAACACAAAACACAUCACUGACCUUGAGUAUCUUAGCAAUUGUAUUGAAGAAAAUGAAAAUUCAUUUAUGCAAAUAAUAACGGACAAUAAUUAGAUAACAUAUAAUUUAAUGCUUGGAAGAUUUCUAAAAAUUAAUUUGAAGUUACUAAUGGUGUAAAAUGUCAAUUGCUUUUCACAAAUGUGUGUUUUCUUACAAUUCAUGUUUAAGAAGUUUAAUGUAUACAUUGCAUAUGGUAGCUCAGAUCUUCCUUCAGUAAAAUGCUGGAGCACAUCAGCACUUCAAUUAGAGAACAUCCACUGAUAUCAGGGCAAUUACUUACCUGAAAAAUCUCUUAGAAGUGUUUUAUUAUAAAAUUUUUGCAGUGGCAAAAGCAAGGUGCAAGGUUCUGCAGUUAAGUUUGCAACUCUCUGGCAUUCUAACCACUCUUUCAAACAUUGUUUGCUUCUUCAGACUCUCCCUCCUUGGAUUUGAAAGAGAAAUAAUGAGUAAAGCUGAGUAAUGUUGGGCCAUGAUGAAAAAUGGAACAAAGCAAGCUGCUUUUUCAUGGGCUUUAAUAGAAGCUUUUAUUUUUAAAUGGCUGCUGGAUAAUGUUGCUGGGCACUGCUUGGCAAACACUGGGAAGGAUCCUUUGUUGCCCUUUAUUGACAUAUGGGUUGGCUAGACAUAGUUAUGAACCUCUGCAAUUUUGUUCUCAGUCUGCAAUAGUAUUUUUUUAGCCAUUUUAUGCAGUAAGUGAAGGAACACUUGAAUCCCGAGCUUUCACUACAUAUUCACUCACUCUCUGAAGUGUCCUGGAGGAAAUUUCACUACAGGGGUAUUGGGAUGGGCAAUGAAAUUUGAACUGAAGUUAAAAUAAUUCUCUAUUCAAAAUGCAAUUUUCUUAGUGUGUAUUUAAAAUGAAAAAUGAAAAUGUUUAAUUUUAAAAUGGCCUGGCCCAGUGUUCAGCAGGAAUGUUCUAACUAAAGGGAAAAUCAGUCAGUUCCCUUUGAGGUUUUGUUUUCUUUUAAACAGUAAGUAUCACUUGCAUUCACUAAUGUUACAGAAAUCAAAUUCUGAGGUAACAAAAAUAUUUAUGCCUUAAGUAAAUAUACUGGAAAACUCUAAGUUCAAUAAAUGACACUUUUUUC